UUUUUCGAGAAACUUUAUAUAUACAUAUAUAUAUAUAUAUAUAUAAAUAUAUAUUGUUUAAUAAAUUUUCAUUAGUUUUGAAAUAUAUAUUUUUCAUAUAUCCAUGGAUGCUUCAAUAUUGUUUAAUACUUUGUGGCCGGUUGUAUUCUAUAAUCUCUUUCAAUAUUGGAUGCUUUAUGUUUACAUGAUAGUAUAUUAAAUAUUUAAAUAGAAAAAGCGAUAUAUCAUUUAGAACAUCAAAUCAAUUCCUUAAAGAAAAGAUCUAAUCGCCCUUUAAUAAUUUUUGCGUAUGUAUUAUUCAUAAGAGAACUCUCUAAUUAUUUACUGUUAAGAACCCGAAUGAUAUAUCUAUAUCUAUAUGUUAUACUAAAUCUC
rnacentral:lncRNA from 1 species